AGAGUUUGAUCCUGGCUCAGGAUGAACGCUGGCGGCGUGCUUAACACAUGCAAGUCGAACGAACCUUCGGGUUAGUGGCGGACGGGUGAGUAACGCGUGAGAAUCUGCCCUCAGGAGGGGGAUAACGGCUGGAAACGGCCGCUAAUACCCCAUAUGCCGAGAGGUGAAAUGAAUUUCGCCUGAGGAUGAGCUCGCGUCUGAUUAGCUAGUUGGUAAGGUAAGAGCUUACCAAGGCAUCGAUCAGUAGCUGGUCUGAGAGGAUGAUCAGCCACACUGGGACUGAGACACGGCCCAGACUCCUACGGGAGGCAGCAGUGGGGAAUUUUCCGCAAUGGGCGAAAGCCUGACGGAGCAACGCCGCGUGAGGGAUGAAGGCCUCUGGGCUGUAAACCUCUUUUCUCAAGGAAGAAGACAUGACGGUACUUGAGGAAUAAGCCACGGCUAAUUCCGUGCCAGCAGCCGCGGUAAUACGGGAGUGGCAAGCGUUAUCCGGAAUUAUUGGGCGUAAAGCGUCCGCAGGCGGCCUUUUAAGUCUGUUGUUAAAGCGUGGAGCUCAACUCCAUUUCGGCAAUGGAAACUGGAAGGCUGGAGUGUGGUAGGGGCAGAGGGAAUUCCCGGUGUAGCGGUGAAAUGCGUAGAUAUCGGGAAGAACACCAGUGGCGAAGGCGCUCUGCUGGGCCAUAACUGACGCUCAUGGACGAAAGCCAGGGGAGCGAAAGGGAUUAGAUACCCCUGUAGUCCUGGCCGUAAACGAUGAACACUAGGUGUCGGGGGAAUCGACCCCCUCGGUGUCGUAGCCAACGCGUUAAGUGUUCCGCCUGGGGAGUACGCACGCAAGUGUGAAACUCAAAGGAAUUGACGGGGGCCCGCACAAGCGGUGGAGUAUGUGGUUAAUUCGAUGCAACGCGAAGAACCUUACCAGGGUUUGACAUCCAGCGAAUCCCUUGGAAACUUGGGAGUGCCUUCGGGAGCGCAGAGACAGGUGGUGCAUGGCUGUCGUCAGCUCGUGUCGUGAGAUGUUGGGUUAAGUCCCGCAACGAGCGCAACCCACGUCUUUAGUUGCCAGCAUUUAGUUGGGCACUCUAGAGAGACCGCCGGUGAUAAACCGGAGGAAGGUGUGGAUGACGUCAAGUCAUCAUGCCCCUUACAUCCUGGGCUACACACGUACUACAAUGCUACGGACAAAGGGCACCAAACUCGCGAGAGCUAGCAAAUCCCAUAAACCGUGGCUCAGUUCAGAUCGUAGGCUGCAACUCGCCUACGUGAAGGAGGAAUCGCUAAUAAUCGCAGGUCAGCAUACUGCGGUGAAUACGUUCCCGGGCCUUGUACACACCGCCCGUCACACCAUGGAAGUUGGCCACGCCCGAAGCCGUUACUCCAACCC
rnacentral:rRNA from 1 species